GGUGGGGUUCCCGAGCGGCCAAAGGGAGCAGACUGUAAAUCUGCCGUCAUCGACUUCGAAGGUUCGAUUCCUUCCCCCACCACCA
rnacentral:tRNA from 1 species